UUUUGUGAACAGCACUUGGACAUGGGUUAGCCGAUCCUGAGGAACAGGUUAAAUUUCAUCCGAUUGGAGCUUUGGCUCUGUUUCUCGAAGGGGAAGCUGGUUAGCAUUCCAGCCCCGAGACGUGAAUAAUAUGUGGCAAGACAAGUGAAUUCGGACACGCCAUAGGAGACCCCAGGAAAUGUUGUCUUUUCUUUUUAACAGUUCGACUUACCCUAAAAUCAGAUCAUCUGAAGAUAGGGUUUCCGUACUGGAAUAGCAUCUUGUCUAGUACGCUAUUCUAAAAGGAUAUUUGAGUUCUUUUUUGAAGGAGUAUACAUAACACUAUUUUAUCGCA
rnacentral:ncRNA from 1 species